GAUGAACGCUGGCGGCGUGCCUAAUACAUGCAAGUCGAGCGAACAGACGAGGAGCUUGCUCCUCUGACGUUAGCGGCGGACGGGUGAGUAACACGUGGAUAACCUACCUAUAAGACUGGGAUAACUUCGGGAAACCGGAGCUAAUACCGGAUAAUAUAUUGAACCGCAUGGUUCAAUAGUGAAAGACGGUUUUGCUGUCACUUAUAGAUGGAUCCUCGCCGCAUUAGCUAGUUGGUAAGGUAACGGCUUACCAAGGCAACGAUGCGUAGCCGACCUGAGAGGGUGAUCGGCCACACUGGCACUGAGACACGGUCCAGACUCCUACGGGAGGCAGCAGUAGGGAAUCUUCCGCAAUGGGCGAAAGCCUGACGGAGCAACGCCGCGUGAGUGAUGAAGGUCUUCGGAUCGUAAAACUCUGUUAUUAGGGAAGAACAAAUGUGUAAGUAACUAUGCACGUCUUGACGGUACCUAAUCAGAAAGCCACGGCUAACUACGUG
rnacentral:rRNA from 1 species